ACUUACCUUUCCCCGCUCAGAAGGAGGGGAGCAGGCUUCUGAGUACUCUGGGGUGCGUUACCUCCCCUGAACACGAAUGGUACGCCCCAAGCUGGGGCUUGUGGGGAUAGGAGAAAGAGCGGAUUAGUUGUUUAGGAUGCUGUUGAUGAUGCAGACGAUCGAAAAAAAUCAAGCCACUUAAAGUCAAAGCUCUUCCAAAUGAAUGGAAAUACUCUUUUUCCAAGAAAAACUUGACCUUUAUGGGGAAAAAAAUUCAAGCAAUGAAAAAGCAAAAGCCCUCCCUAAUACCACCCCCAGAGACACCCUUUGGUAACAGUGUGAGAUUUAUGGUAAGGAAUUGGCUCAUGAAAUAUGGAGGCUGAGAAGUCCUAAGAUCUGCAGUCCACAGGCCUGAGAAACAGAAAAGCCGAUGGUAGAAGUUCCAGUCCAAGUCUGAAGACAAAAGAUUGACAUCCCACCUUGAAGGCCAUCAGGCAGAGACCAAAUUCGCUCUUGCUCAGCUUUUUUAUUUACUCAGGCCUUUAACAGUUGAAAUGAAGGCUGCCCACACUGGCAAAGGCAAUCUGCUUUACUCAGACUACUGAUUCAAAUAAUCUCACCCAGAAAAACCCUUAAAGAAACACCCAGAAUGUUUAACCAAAUAUCUGGGCACUCUAUGGCCCAACCAAGUUAACACGUAACAUUAGCCAUCCACUGAAAUCAUGGGCUCCAAAGUCAAGCUGCCUGAGUUUGAAUUUGACUUCUUACUUCUAGUCUGAGACUUUAGGGAAAGUACUUAGCCAAUCUGUGCCUCAGUGUCCUCAUCUGUUACAGGAGGCAUCUGUAGUGGGAUAUGCUUUUCAUCUGCCCCGCUUCUCUUUAGUGAUCCUAUUUUUCCUGCACUUAGGCCUUCUCAGAGAUGCAUACAUAACUAGGUUUAAUCAGGGAACCUUAUCCUGGCUAUAGCCAGGGCCCUCCCUGGGCUAACUUGCUAGCUUUGCCUUCUGAGAUCAAAUGUCCUUCGGACCUUGUGAGCCUAAAGUUACAGAGGAACUCUCCAUGUGGAUUUAGGCUGGGGAUGGAGCCCACGCAGAGGAAAGAAGAGAGAUGGAGAGAGAGAGAGAGAGAGAGACUAAAUCAUCAAGACAUUGUUUGAGUUCUUGAAUCCAACUAAAUCAGAAGCCUGAAUUACCCUGUGGACUUUUCAGUUACAAGAAUCAAUAAAUUCCUUUUC